AGGGUGGUGAGGUGGGUGGGAGGUGGUGGUGGGUGGGAAAGUAUGGGUGAUAGUCCAUGAUACUGGCUGAGUUUGCAAUAGCAGGUGGAACCCUAACUAUUGAGGGAGUUUGCAGAUACCUCAGGAUUCGUGACAAUGCCUUUAAAGAUCCAGGAGAGAUGUUCAGCUACUAGGAACUGCUAGCAAGUAUAGCGCGAAUGGCUCCGAGCUCAGACACUCUACAGCUGAGAGUAGACACUUGUGGGAGGAGUCUGCUACUAGUCUUAUCAGCUCUUAAAAACAGAAACUCACCUGUCCAAGUUCGUGGCAGAAAGGAACGUCCUUGUGAAGACCUUUAUCUGAGCCACUGUACUUCGUUAUCACUGCCGUGCAGUUGACAUGAGCUGUUCUGCAGCUCAAAUUCCAUUUUGUAAAUGGGGUUUUUUGUUUUUUGUUUUUUUUUUAAUAAACUGUAUUUAACUUAGUUCUGCUUGUUUGGUCCUCCUUUGUGAUAUCUAUGGUUAAUAACAUGUUGAAAUUCAGGUUAGAGAGGAUAUGGUUGAUUACAGUGUGAAUUGCUAUAUUUAAAUUUAUCCCAUUCAGUUUUAUGGUUUAAUGAAAAUAGAAAUGGGUUUUCACUGCUGGAGUAAUUUUUGGCUCAUUAUAAUAAGUAAACUUGACUGUUGAUCCAAUUGAGCAUGUCCUUUUUCUAGCUCCCCUGACAAGGGAAAAUCAAGUUGUAGCACUGCCAUUGAGCUCAGUAGGUCUCUAUUGGGACUUACAGCAUCUAUUGGGAUGCUCACCAUCUGUUGCAGAAGGACAUAAUGGAUUUCAUCUUUGGCAAAC
rnacentral:lncRNA from 1 species